GUCCCCUUCGGGGAGACAUACGAAAACUUGGAACGAUACAGAGAAGAUUAGCAUGGCCCCUGCACAAGGAUGACACGCUUU
rfam:Scleroderma citrinum Foug A unplaced genomic scaffold scaffold_326, whole genome shotgun sequence.